AAAAAAAAAAAGAAAAAAAAAGUGAAAUGUGUCAAAAUGUUGUAUGGUCUUUUGUCAUAUGAAUUAGUAGCAUUCAUAUGUGACAUGCAACUUUUUAAUUUUUAAUCAAAUCGAUUAUGUAUGAAAAAACAAAGGAAUCAAUUUUUCUAGAGCUCCUUGAUUCUAUUAGGAAGCUUUGUCAAUAUUAUUUUUGUGCUACCAUUGUAGGAAAGUGUAAAUUGAUCAAUUACAAAAAAAUGUAAAUUGAGUGUAUUUUAAAAAUUAAUUGAGGGCUUUACAGGAAAUGUAAAUUGUUAUGGUUGAAAAGUAAAUUUGUACAGUUGAAAAAGUAAAUGAUUGCUUGAAAUGAUAAAGCCAAUGCUUUGAAAAGUAAAUUCAUUAUUUGAUUGCACUAAAAGUAUUGCACAAUCAUUUAAUGCAAAAUUGCGCAACAAAAGUAAAUAAGAGCUUGAAUGAAUUUGAAUUAAAAAUAUGUAUUGCUUGAACAAGUAAAAUACAAUUAAUUAAUAGAAAAAGUAAAUGGAAAACUUAUCUAAAUCUACUAAGAGCUUGCUAUGAAUUUGACAUUGUAAAGUAAAUUUAUCUGUUAUGUUGCUGAAUGGAUGGAGAGGGGCUAAAAGUUGCAUAUGCUACUUCUUUUAUAGCUUCUCCUUGCUUAGUGAUCACGCUCAUUAUACUAACAUACUUUGUUGCCAUAACUACUCUCGGUGACUAGCCACUUCAAUAAUUGCUCUCCUAACUUCCAAGCCAAUAAAUGUUGUUAUUUAUCCAAACACUAGCCUUUAGCUCAAUGUAUCUGCAUUUUUUGGCUUAGUUGUUACUCUUGCUCUUAAAUAAUUUAUUGGAUUUGGAUGUUGAGUCAUGGAUAUGGGUCAUGUAUUUGGGUUAUGGGUUAGGCUUUCCACAUGGGCUUUUCAUGGAUUUUGAUUAAUUUUAGGUGCAAACCUAAUUAAUUAAUCAAGCCUACGCCUUAAAAUUAAUUAUGGUGCAAACAAUUAUCAUCUGUGUAUAUCUUAUAAAAUUAAGCUAAUGCGCUUUUUGAACAAUUAUUUUCUCCUUCAAAAUGCCAUGCCUCCUAAAUACUAUAUUAUACAUUUAUGUAAUGAGUUUUUGGCAGUAGUUGAGAUGAGUAUUGAGACAUUAUACUUUGUGUUUUUAGUAGAAAAAGAGGUUGGGACAG
rnacentral:misc_RNA from 1 species